AGGAGGAGGAGACCUCUGACCUCACCUCCUCUGCCUCUGGCAGCUGUCUGCCCUCCUCAGCCCGUCAGUCGUCUGUCAGCUCACCGGAGAGAAAAUCAAUGAUUUAGCAGAAGUUUGUCUUCAGCUGGAAGGCGGGCAGCAGACUGAGGUCAAAGUUUCCUGGAUUCUGACGUUUUUUUGCAGUGAGCGACGCCAUCAGCCGACCGUCCCUCCAGGAUGAGCGCCGAGCCUCCGCCGUACCGUCCUCACUUCCCUGAGGGCCCCUCGGCCCCCGUCUUCUCUCCAGGUCUGUCUUCUUUUAUCUUUGAC